rnacentral:lncRNA from 1 species
UGCACUCCAGCUUGGGUGACAGAGUGAGUGAGACUCUGUCUCAAACAAACAAAAAACAACAAAAAUAACUGGCAGAGUAAGGAUCAAGUGCAAAUCUGGAUUUCCUGCAACAUCUGCCUCGGCUAGGAGCAGUUAGGAUCACCCCCGUCCCAGAUGCACCUAAAACCUGGUCUGCCCUGACUCCCUGAGAGUGGAAGUCCAGGUGAUUGACCAGCCGCAUGUCAUUUGGGAGGAGGUUAUAGUGGCCCUGAGAUCAC